rnacentral:misc_RNA from 1 species
GAUGAAGAACGCAGCAAAAUUCGAUAAGUAAUGUGAAUUGCAGAAUUCAGUGAAUCAUCGAAUCUUUGAACGCACAUUGCGCCCGCCAGUAUUCUGGCGGGCAUGCCUGUUCGAGCGUCAUUUCAACCCUCAAGCACAGCUUGGUGUUGGGACUCGCGUUAAUUCGCGUUCCCCAAAUUGAUUGGCGGUCACGUCGAGCUUCCAUAGCGUAGUAGUAAAACCCUCGUUACUGGUAAUCGUCGCGGCCACGCCGUUAAACCCCAACUUCUGAAUGUUGACCUCGGAUCAGGUAGGAAUACCCGCUGAACUUAAGCAUAUCAAUAAGCGGAGGA